GACGAACGCUGGCGGCGUGCUUAACACAUGCAAGUCGAACGGACUACUUUGCUUCGGUAAGGUGGUUAGUGGCGAACGGGUGAGUAACGCGUAGACAACCUACCUCUUAGAUGGGGACAACAUCGCGAAAGCGGUGCUAAUACCGAAUGAAGUGACUUUCCUGCAUGGGAGAGAUACUAAAGGUGGCCUCUAUUUAUAAGCUACCACUGAGAGAUGGGUCUGCGUCUGAUUAGCUAGUUGGCGGGGUAACGGCCGACCAAGGCGACGAUCAGUAGCCGGUCUGAGAGGAUGAACGGCCACAUUGGGACUGAGACACGGCCCAAACUCCUACGGGAGGCAGCAGUGGGGAAUCUUCCGCAAUGGACGAAAGUCUGACGGAGCAACGCCGCGUGAGUGAAGAAGGUUUUCGGAUCGUAAAGCUCUGUUGUUUGAGGCGAAUGUGCCUGUUUCGAAUAGGGAUAGGUAAUGACGGUAUUAAACGAGAAAGCCACGGCCAACUACGUGCCAGCCGCCGCGGUAA
rnacentral:rRNA from 1 species